UGGUGGAGUGAUUUGUCUGGUUAAUUCCGUUAACGAACGAGACCUUAACCUGCUAAAUAGCCGCGCUCAUCCUACUAUUCAAAACCCGUGCAGGUUGUGUGUUGGUCCACUUAUUGUGUGGAUGGGAUUCGCGUCCCGUUCCACAGUGGGUGGGCCCGCAGCUUGUAUGGGCGGUUGGAUGGGCGAAUUGUGCUUCUUAGAGGGACUGUCUGCGCUUAGCAGACGGAAGUUUGAGGCAAUAACA
rnacentral:rRNA from 1 species